rnacentral:lncRNA from 1 species
UUUCGGGUUCACCAUUUCUCACAUGUGGAGUGAUGGGGAUCGGGAUCCGGACACAGGUCACAAACCACAUACACGAGCACCGAAAUUUAGGGCUAGUGCAAACUCACAUAUAUCGUAGCAAAUCCAUGCCACAAAGAAACUAUUUUAUUAAUCAUCAACAUAUCUCCUACAACUAUUACAUUAGCCUUAUUUAUAGGCUUUACAAGACUUGAGCAUCAAGGCUACUUGGUC